rnacentral:lncRNA from 1 species
CCAACUGCUCUAUGAAAAGAAAGGUUAAACUCUGUGAGUUGAACGCACACAUCACAAAGUAGUUUCUGAGAAUGAUACUGUCUAGUUUUUAUACGGAGAUAUUUCCUUUCCUUCCAUUGGCGUCAAAGCGCUAGAAUUCUCCACUUGCAAAUUCCACAAAAAGAGUGUUUCCAAUCUGCUCUGUCUAAAGGAAGGUUCAACUCUGUGAGUUGAAUACACACACACAAAGAAGCUACUGAGAAUUCUUUUGUCAAGAAUUAUAAGAAGAAAUCCCGUUUCCAACGAAGGCCUCAAAGAGUUCCAAAUAUCCACUUGCACACUGUACAAACUAAGUCUUUCCAAACUGCUCUAUGCAAAGAAAUGUUCAACUCUGUGAGUUUAAUGCACACAUCACAAAGCAGUUUCUGAGAAUGAUUCCGUCUAGUUUUUAUACGAACAUAGCCUUUUCUACCAUUGGCCUCAAGGCUCUUGAAAUCUCCACCUGAAAAUUCCGCAAAAAGCGUGUUUCCAAUCCGCUCUGUCUAAAGGAAGUUUCAAAUCUCUGAGUUGAAUACAUACAUCCCAAAAGAAGUUACUGCGAAUUCUUCUGUCUAGCAUUAUGUGAAGAAAUCCCGUUUCCAACGAAAGCCUCCAAGAGGUCCAAAUAUCCAGUUGCAGAAUUUACAAACUGACUGUUUCCAAACUCAUCUAUGAAAAGAAAGGUUAAACUCUGUGAGUUGAAUGCACAUAUCACAAAGUAGUUCCUGAGAAUGAUUCUGUCUAGUUUUUAUACGAAGAUAUUUCCUUUUCCACCAAUGGCCUCAAAGUGCUUGAAAUCUCCCCUUGCAAAUUCCACAGAAAAGUGUUUCAAAUCUGCACUGUCUAAAGGAAGGUUCAACCCUGUGAGUUGAAUACACACACACAGAAAAAAAUUCACUGAGAAUUCUAUUGUCUAUCAUUACACGAAGAAAUCCCGUUUACUACGAAGGCCUCAAAGAGGUCCAAAUAUCCAGCUGCAGACAUUACAAACUGAGUGUUUCCAAAGUGCUCUAUGAAAAGAAGUGUUAAACACUGUGAGUUCAAUGCACACAUCCCAAAGCAGUUUCUGAGAAUGAUUCCGUCUAUUUUUUCUACGAAGAUAUUUCCUUUUCUACCGUUGGCCUCAAAGCGCUUGAAAUCUCCACUUGCAAAUUCCACAAAAAGAGAGUUUCAAAUCUGCUCUGUCUAAAGGAAAGUUCAACUCUGUGAGUUGAAUAGACACAACACAAAGACGUUACUGAGAAUUCUUCUGUCUAGCAUUUUAUGAAGAUAUCCCGUUUCCAAUGAAGGCCUCAAAGAGGUCCAAAUAUCCACU